CCUAGGGUGGCUGCAGUGGGGAAUAUUGGACAAUGGGCGAAAGCCUGAUCCAGCCAUGCCGCGUGUGUGAAGAAGGCCUUCGGGUUGUAAAGCACUUUCAGUGGGGAAGAAAGCCUUGGGGCUAAUACCCUCGAGGAAGGACAUCACCCACAGAAGAAGCACCGGCUAACUCCGUGCCAGCAGCCGCGGUAAUACGGAGGGUGCGAGCGUUAAUCGGAAUUACUGGGCGUAAAGCGCGCGUAGGCGGUCUGAUAAGCCGGUUGUGAAAGCCCCGGGCUCAACCUGGGAACGGCAUCCGGAACUGUCAGGCUAGAGUGCAGGAGAGGAAGGUAGAAUUCCCGGUGUAGCAGUGAAAUGCGUAGAGAUCGGGAGGAAUACCAGUGGCGAAGGCGGCCUUCUGGACUGACACUGACGCUGAGGUGCGAAAGCGUGGGUAGCAAACAGGAUUAGAUACCCCGGUAGUC
rnacentral:rRNA from 1 species